rnacentral:rRNA from 1 species
UGGGGAAUAUUGCACAAUGGGCGCAAGCCUGAUGCAGCCAUGCCGCGUGUGUGAAGAAGGCCUUCGGGUUGUAAAGCACUUUCAGCGAGGAGGAAGGUGGUGAACUUAAUACGUUCAUCAAUUGACGUUACUCGCAGAAGAAGCACCGGCUAACUCCGUGCCAGCAGCCGCGGUAAUACGGAGGGUGCAAGCGUUAAUCGGAAUUACUGGGCGUAAAGCGCACGCAGGCGGUUUGUUAAGUCAGAUGUGAAAUCCCCGGGCUCAACCUGGGAACUGCAUUUGAAACUGGCAAGCUAGAGUCUCGUAGAGGGGGGCUAGAAUUCCAGGUGUAGCGGUGAAAUGCGUAGAGAUCUGGAGGAAUACCGGUGGCGAAGGCGGCCCCCUGGACGAAGACUGACGCUCAGGUGCGAAAGCGUGGGGCAGCAAACAGGAUUAGAUACCCUGGUAGUCCACGCUGUAAACGAUGUCGAUUUGGAGGUUGUGCCCCUUGAGGCGUGGCUUCCGGAGCUAACGCGUUAAAUCGACCGCCUGGGGAGUACGGCCGCAAGGUUAAAACUCAAAUGAAUU